rnacentral:rRNA from 1 species
UACGUAGGGUGCGAGCGUUAAUCGGAAUUACUGGGCGUAAAGCGUGCGCAGGCGGUUUUGUAAGCCAGAUGUGAAAGCCCCGGGCUUAACCUGGGAAUGGCAUUUGGGACUGCAAGGCUUGAGUGCGGCAGAGGAGACUGGAAUUCCUGGUGUAGCAGUGAAAUGCGUAGAUAUCGGGAGGAACACCAAUUGCGAAGGCAGCUCGCUGGAACGUAACUGACGCUGAGACGCGAAAGCGUGGGGAGCAAACAGG